rnacentral:rRNA from 1 species
CCCUUAGAUGUUCUGGGCCGCACGCGUGCUACACUGAGUGGAUCAGCGGGUCAGGUUGCGCGAAAGCGUUUCCUAAUCUUUAAAUCCGCUCGUGAUGGGGAUUGACGGUUGCAAUUUUCUGUCAUGAACGAGGAAUACCUUGUAAGCGCGGGUCAUCAUCCCGCGCUGAAUACGUCCCUGCCCUUUGUACACACCGCCCGUCGCUCCUACCGAUUGGUGAUCCGGUGAAUGAUUCGGACUUCAGCGGCUCCCCUGGGGUGCGCCGGAGAAAGUUUUGUGAACCUUAUCACUUGGAGGAAGGAGAAGUCGUAACA